AAAACAACUACGAAGAAACAGCUGAAAGAUGAAAAAGCUAAAGUAAAAGAAGAUCCACGACAUCAAAACCUGACAUCAGCUCCUGUCCGCUACUUUCAAUGUGUCUUCCUAAAUGGACCUAAUGGAUUUGGGCUGCAAUUUCCAAUUAAUUCCCCUUCAAACAAGGAAGAAAAGACUCACUCAAAGACUUCCAAGAGAAAGACAAGGAAACCGGGGCAGUAGAGAGACUGAGUCCUGUGAUCACUGACAUUUUGCACUUUAUCUUUUCUGCUGAGGUCCACAGUAGCUACAGUGGUACUUGUCAUUGCAGGAACGCGAUCCACUUGCACGCAUGUACCUGGAACUGUUUCCAUGGGGCAGCGGCAGAACAAGCAGUAAUGAACGGUGUUUAACAAAGAUAGAAAUGUAAAAGUGCCCAGUUUCUCAUGGAAAGGCUGCAAUGCUAACAAGGCAUUGAUGUGACUGUGUGUGUGAGCAUGUGCGUGUGUUUUCAUGCCUCUUUCGCUCUUGUUUUUCUUUACCUACAUGCUCAGCAUUGAAGUGAGUCUGUUUUCCACUUAAUCUUAUCUAAGGAGUGAAAGGUUGAACAUAGCUCUUAUAUCAGCAAGAUUGCAAGACUAGCUGCAAUCCUAAACCAUUUCUUCUUAAUGUUUAAUCAAAUUGCUGACAGGAAAAUGCCUCACUAAGUCAUGAAAAUGUGCUCUGUGACUGGUGCUAUUUUUAUGUCUCAUUGACCAGUGUAGCCUGAAGCUCACACUUACUCGGAGCAGCUCAAUACACUAUCAGUAAGUUGACUCCACAAGUCAUAUUAAUGAUGAAUAUUUCUAUUUAAUCUGAAACUUAAAUGGACUGUUUGCCCUGUCAGUUGGUGAAAUACAAACUCUUCUCUUCCUAAGGCCCUAAGUGAGAAGAGAAAGUGAAACCAGAUGGCAAAGGUUAGGAAAAACGCUGUUUUACCAACAUGGAGGUUCGGAGAAACAAUUGAAGUAAUUAUAGUGCUUCCACUUUUCUUCUGCUGCUAAAUCAGAUUGUUUUGCGGUAAAAGCCAUGUAAAUGGACAAUAUAACAGCCAACAAUUUGCUAUUAGCUUAAGCCAGAUGAAAAGCUAGGAUGUGAGAUGCCAUUCAUGAAACUAAAGCAACCCAAAUUUGCAGUAAUUAUGUGAUUUUUUGAUGCUGAGAUCAGUGAACAAAAACAAAACCAAACCCAAACAAACGAAGAAUCAGAAAAAAAAUGAAACAUAAACACAUUAAAUAAUCCAGGUAUUUCAUUUUACUAGAUUAAAUGAAAGAACUUCCUCACAGCACACUACUGGAAGUGGCUUACAGUAGAACCAAAAGUAGAUGCGCUUGUCCUAAAUCUUCUUUUGUGCAUUUAUGAAGAAAUAAAGAAUUUGUUGCCCUAAAAAAGAGACGAGAUGGCAUUUGAUCUAUUUAAAGGCACAUGAAUGAAAAUUGGCAUCUCACCAAUCUAUGUCUGGCAAUGUAAAUAAUGCCUUUUUGCAAGCUGCUAUUUAUUUGCAUUUCCUUACUAUAUUUUUUUUGCAUUUAAUCUGGGAAAUAUACAGCAGUGACUUUAGUUAUGUAGUUGCCUGCUGAAGCAACAUGAUCCUCUUUGUGCAAAACCACUACUUGUUGAGUCUGAACACACCAAAAACUGUAUAUCACUUUUUUUAUUUUUAGUAUAGACCAAGAUAACAUUGGCCUCCUCCCUCUUACACUCUCCCUGCCCAUCCAUCUUACUUUAAUCAAAUAAUUGACUCAGGUGAGUUUCAGACAGCUGAUUCUUUGACAGAUUACUGCAAUUCAGAAAGCUUUGCUGUUACACUGCUGGGUCCAGUUGGUAUUUUCUGAUUACUGGUCAUGGCCUUACAUGAACUGGAUCCUUGGUCUUAAUGUGCUCUGAUAUUGCACAGGUCAUGUGCUGCAAAACCUGUCAUUGCAACAAGCAGUUUAAGCAGUGGUGACCAGAAAGAGGUAGGAGCAGGUCCUGCUCUGGAAGUAGCUAUUCCCAUGUAGAAUCACACCAUAGACAGGAGUGUUCAUGGUGAAUGUCCCCACAGACCCUGAGAGAUCUGGUCUGGAGAUAGCACUGCCAACAGAGAAUUUUUGAUGGUAGAAUUAUGAUCUUCAAUUUUCUUUUGGUAUCUCUUUUUAUAUUUCCAGCAACUUCUUGCUUCCCAAUUUGUGAUUUUGUAUAUAUUAUGAUGGGUGUUAUUGCCCUAGGUUUUUACUGUGAAAGCUGUCUUAAAAAUGAGAUUUUAACUUUCUUUAAAAUCAUUUAAUUCAAGAUUUCAUCUAAUGCAAAUAAUCAGGACAAAAAAUUGUAUAAUAUAAGCCUUUAUUUUUGUCAUCAUCUUUUGGAACUUUUUUUUUUUCAUUAUAGUCAUUAUAGUUAGCCUUAAUCCUUCCUUCCCAUCUGAGAUGGGAGAUAACAAGAAUUUGUUCUGGAUCUCAUUUCCAUAAUGCUUCGAUUAGGAAUGUUUCAGUGUUAGAUAUCUGAAAGCUUUGGAAAUAUAAACAGUAAAUACGAUUGCAUAAGUGAUGUAAAAUCAGUAAUUUAAUUUUGUUUCCUCAUCUAUGUCACUGCCUAGAAAAACAGAAAAAACCAGAUCCACUCUCAGAGGGGCAAGCGUUCUACUCCUUAAAUUUACCUGGAAACAUUAAAAAUUUUCCUGGUUUGCAUGGUUUUACUAAAAUUAGCCUGAAAUAUUGCAUAAACUUAUGCUGUUUGUUAUACAUUUUGGAAAAUAAAAAAUAUAAACCCUGCU